rnacentral:rRNA from 1 species
GAUGAACGCUGACAGAAUGCUUAACACAUGCAAGUCAACUUGAACUUCGGUUUGGGUGGCGGACGGGUGAGUAACGCGUAAAGAACUUGCCUCACAGAUAGGGACAACAUUUGGAAACGAAUGCUAAUACCUGAUAUUAUGAUUAUAUGGCAUCGUAUAAUUAUGAAAGCUAUAUGCGCUGUGAGAGAGCUUUGCGCCCCAUUAGCUAGUUGGAGAGGUAACGGCUCACCAAGGCGAUGAUGGGUAGCCGGCCUGAGAGGGUGAUCGGCCACAAGGGGACGGAGACACGGCCCUUACUCCUACGGGAGGCAGCAGUGGGGAAUAUUGGACAAUGGACCAAGAGUCUGAUCCAGCAAUUCUGUGUGCACGAUGAAGUUUUUCGGAAUGUAAAGUGCUUCCAGUUGGGAAGAAAAAAAUGACGGUACCAACAGAAGAAGUGACGGCUAAAUACGUG